UGACUUGUUCAUUCGACUAUGUGGUUCCAGAGAUCGAGCGGAUCGAAGAAAUACUUGCAAUGUCGAAUGGAAAGACACUUGAUGGUGAAACAAGACCUAUC